rnacentral:rRNA from 1 species
UGCAAGUCGAACGGUAAGGCCCUUCGGGGUACACGAGUGGCGAACGGGUGAGUAACACGUGGGUGAUCUGCCCUGCACUUCGGGAUAAGCCCGGGAAACUGGGUCUAAUACCGGAUAGGACUGCGCGGUGCAUGCCGUGUGGUGGAAAGAUUUAUCGGUGCAGGAUGGGCCCGCGGCCUAUCAGCUUGUUGGUGGGGUAAUGGCCUACCAAGGCGACGACGGGUAGCCGGCCUGAGAGGGCGACCGGCCACACUGGGACUGAGACACGGCCCAGACUCCUACGGGAGGCAGCAGUGGGGAAUAUUGCACAAUGGGCGCAAGCCUGAUGCAGCGACGCCGCGUGAGGGAUGACGGCCUUCGGGUUGUAAACCUCUUUCAGCAGGGACGAAGCGCAAGUGACGGUACCUGCAGAAGAAGCACCGGCCAACUACGUGCCAGCAGCCGCGGUAAUACGUAGGGUGCAAGCGUUGUCCGGAAUUACUGGGCGUAAAGAGCUCGUAGGCGGUUUGUCGCGUCGUCUGUGAAAACCAGCAGCUCAACUGUUGGCUUGCAGGCGAUACGGGCAGACUUGAGUAUUUCAGGGGAGACUGGAAUUCCUGGUGUAGCGGUGAAAUGCGCAGAUAUCAGGAGGAACACCGGUGGCGAAGGCGGGUCUCUGGGAAAUAACUGACGCUNNRGAGCGAAA